CAGCAGGAGGCCCCUGCAAGCUCUCUCAACAACCGCUCAGGAGUACAUCCACACUGUGGAAUCAGACAGCAUCUGAAAGAGAAGCUGAAGUAUGGAUCACUUUAACACAACUGAGGACUUUACUGACUUAGAUGGGAAAAGGAAUGGUCUACUGCAGUCUACAUAUAUUUCGACCUUUGUAAAUCCACAGCCACUCACAGGACUUCACUCCAGAAAUUACUUUGGAUCAGUGUGGGCAUGAAUAGUCAGCAGACCAGAAAACUAGCUUACGAGUGAACCUGGACGCCGUUUGGCUACAUUAUUUUGUGUGUUUGAGUAGAAACUUAUUCUGGAGACCAUUUCACUGAAAUUGACACCAAAACACAGAAGGUAUUUGAAAAUAUUUUACAGCUCAAGCAGAUGAGAAACUGAAGAAAGACAUGACAUGCAAUUAAAGCUGCAAAACAUAUUUAGCGUGAUUUCAGUGAACUGAAGUACUUACAGUUCUUGGAAGAAGGUCAUGGGAUUUUAACAUGCAUAAAAAGUUUGUUGUGUUGACCACAGACUACUAGAAUAUGAGUUUACCAAUUAAUUCCAGUGUAAGGCUGCCACUUAACAGAACAAUAUACCUUCUAUUUUUUCAUAUUUCUGCAGAACUGAAAAGAAUUUUUCUGGAAAAUUAGAUCUUAACAAAUACAUCCUAUUUUUUUACAUGAAGAAAUUACCUUUACAUGUCAUACACUUGAGAAAAUAAUGUACCUUUUUAAACAUUUUCUUAACACUGCUAAUGUCAUGAAUCUUGUUAUUGAAAUAAACUUUUGAACAUGAAUUAUU